ensembl:snRNA U6 U6 spliceosomal RNA
GUGCUCAUUUCCGCAGCACAGACACUAGGCUGACAUUGGCAUGACUGGGACAUUAGCAUGGCCCGUGAGCAAGGAUGACAUGUAAACACGUGUAAUGUUCCAUGUUUUC